GUGGAAGGGCCAUCGCUCAACGGAUAAAAGGUACGCCGGGGAUAACAGGCUGAUCUCCCCCAAGAGUUCACAUCGACGGGGAGGUUUGGCACCUCGAUGUCGACUCAUCGCAUCCUGGGGCUGAAGCGGGUCCCAAGGGUCGGGCUGUUCGCCCGUUAAAGCGGUACGAGAGUUGGGUUCAGAACGUCGUGAGACAGUUCGGUCCCUAUCUGUUGUGGGCGUAGGAGAUUUGAGAGGGUCUGUCUCUAGUACGAGAGGAUUGAGAUGGACGGACCUCUAGUGUGCCGGUUGUCGCGCCAGCGGCAGCGCCGGGUAGCUAUGUUCGGUUUGGAUAACCGCUGAAAGCAUCUAAGCGGGAAGCCAGCCUCAAGACAAGAUCUCCCGGAGGGUAACCUCCCUAAAGGCCACUCGUAGACGACGAGUUUGAUAGGCUGGAUGUGGAAGAGCUGUAAGGCUUGAAGCUAACCAGUACUAAUCGGCCGUGCGACUUAACAUC
rnacentral:rRNA from 1 species